AUUGAACGCUGGCGACAGGCUUAACACAUGCAAGUCGAGCGGAGAUGAGGUGCUUGCACCUUAUCUUAGCGGCGGACGGGUGAGUAAUGCUUAGGAAUCUGCCUAUUAGUGGGGGACAACAUUCCGAAAGGAAUGCUAAUACCGCAUACGUCCUACGGGAGAAAGCAGGGGACCUUCGGGCCUUGCGCUAAUAGAUGAGCCUAAGUCGGAUUAGCUAGUUGGUGGGGUAAAGGCCUACCAAGGCGACGAUCUGUAGCGGGUCUGAGAGGAUGAUCCGCCACGCUGGGACUGAGACACGGCCCAGACUCCUACGGGAGGCAGCAGUGGGGAAUAUUGGACAAUGGGCGGAAGCCUGAUCCAGCCAUGCCGCGUGUGUGAAGAAGGCCUUUUGGUUGUAAAGCACUUUAAGCGAGGAGGAGGCUACUAGUACUAAUACUACUGGAUAGUGGACGUUACUCGCAGAAUAAGCACCGGCUAACUCUGUGCCAGCCGCCGCAGUAAUAC
rnacentral:rRNA from 1 species